rnacentral:rRNA from 1 species
UACGAGGGGGGCUAGUGUCGUUCGGAAUCACUGGGCGUAAAGGGAGCGUAGGCGGGCUUUCAAGUUAGGUGUUUAAUCCCGGGGCCCAACCCCGGACAGGCACUUAAAACUGGAAGUCUUGAAUAGUGGAGAGGUCAGUGGAAUUAGAGGUGUAGCGGUGGAAUGCGUAGAGAUCUCUAAGAACACCAGUUGCGAAGGCGGCUGACUGGACACAUAUUGACGCUGAGGCUCGAAAGCAUGGGGAGCAAACAGG